rnacentral:rRNA from 1 species
CCGACCUUGAAAUACCACCCUUUAAUGUUUGAUGUUCUAACGUGGACCCGUAAUCCGGGUUGCGGACAGUGUCUGGUGGGUAGUUUGACUGGGGCGGUCUCCUCCUAAAGAGUAACGGAGGAGCACGAAGGUUGGCUAAUCCUGGUCGGACAUCAGGAGGUUAGUGCAAUGGCAUAAGCCAGCUUGACUGCGAGCGUGACGGCGCGAGCAGGUGCGAAAGCAGGUCAUAGUGAUCCGGUGGUUCUGAAUGGAAGGGCCAUCGCUCAACGGAUAAAAGGUACUCCGGGGAUAACAGGCUGAUACCGCCCAAGAGUUCAUAUCGACGGCGGUGUUUGGCACCUCGAUGUCGGCUCAUCACAUCCUGGGGCUGAAGUAGGUCCCAAGGGUAUGGCUGUUCGCCAUUUAAAGUGGUACGCGAGCUGGGUUUAGAACGUCGUGAGACAGUUCGGUCCCUAUCUGCCGUGGGCGCUGGAGAACUGAGGGGGGCUGCUCCUAGUACGAGAGGACCGGAGUGGACGCAUCACUGGUGUUCGGGUUGUCAUGCCAAUGGCACUGCCCGGUAGCUAAAUGCGGAAGAGAUAAGUGCUGAAAGCAUCUAAGCACGAAACUUGCCCCGAGAUGAGUUCUCCCUGAGACUUUAGGUCUCCUGAAGGAACGUUGAAGACGACGACGUUGAUAGGCCGGGUGUGUAAGCGCAGCGAUGCGUUGAGCUAACCGGUACUAAUGAACCGUGAGGCUUAACCUU